rnacentral:tRNA from 1 species
GGGGCUUAGGAUAAUACCUAAACCAAGAGCCUUCAAAGCUUUAAAUGAAAGUGAAAAUCUUUCAGCCUCUGAU